AUUAUUUUGGCAGAUUUAAGUGUAAUGAUUUUAGAAAUCAUAAAUAUAUAGUUAUAUAUAAGUAAUA
rnacentral:tRNA from 1 species